AAACACAAAAUAUUUUUGAAAAAUCAUCCAACAUACUGAGAAGAAAUCUUGAUACUCCUGUGUGCAAAUUCUCCGAAGAAUGUUGUAAAUUUCUCUAUUUUGUGAGUUUUUUUUUUGUGUGUUCUACUUUCUAUCAUCCUGUUUUUAAUGGCUGAGAAAAAAUAUAAUUAUAUUCGUCUAACUGUAUGUUUCAAUUCUCGAAUCUUGUACAUUUUUCAAUUGGGGUUUGUUCUAUUUUAGGGUUCAAGUUGAAAACAGAUCGUAAAUCCGAUUUUUGGCUCUUCAUAUGGAGGUAUUGUAGGGGUUUUAACUGUUAGAUUAAAUUGAAUUGUAGCGACCUGAUCUUGACACAAACCCUAGGUACUUAUGGAAUAUCAUAACCAUAACCCAACAACUCUAUCAUAUUUUCCCCUUUAAAAACAAGAAUGUAAAAAAAAAAAAGGCAUCUUUCUACUGCAAAUUAAGCAAAAAUUGAAUGACAGGUAAUGUUCUGGAAAUCAUUUUGUUUAGUAGGAGUAGCAUAAACUUGUCCUCCCCAAUUCCCAUUUCUGGGAUUACAUUGGGUUGUUGUGGAGUUAUAUUUGGUUAUAGUUUUCGCAAAUAAUAUUUGGUUAUAUAUUUUGUUCCCACUAUAAUGAGAGGACAAGGAAAAGAAGGAGAUAAAAGAGAAGUAAUAGAAACCUUUAAAGGCCAUCUAGAGACUUUUGUCGUUUUAGUUGAUAUUUUUGUUAUGUAUGUGUGUAGACGUCUAAGAGUUGUUCCAAGUUGUAUCAAAUUGCAGCUGUUAUAUGUAUGUACUAACUAUUAAAGUGAUUAAGUUAGAUAGCUUGUUAAUUAGCAUUUGUUAGGUUGUGGCAUGCUUGCUUUGACUUAGCUUUCCUUGAUAGCUUGUAAUACCUUUUUGUAAGUUAUAUACAGUCAUUUCACUUCAAUAUAUAUUUCACACUCUUUGCAUUUUGAUGUUAUAUAGUUCCAGUGAGGUUACUGAAGUUUGAGAUGACCGCUAUUUUAACUACAUCUUCUGGUCCAAUCUAUGCACCAGAAGACCCUACUCUCCCCAAACCUUGGAAAGGCCUAGUUGAUGGCAUAACAUGAUAUAUCUACUUCUGGAAUCCAGAUACCAAUGAUACCUAAUAUGAGAGGCCUGUUCACUCAUCUAAUGGAGUGUCUGCUCCUGCGCAAAAGUCAGCUGUAUUUUGUUGGUUCAUUUGUUCAAAAACCCUGUCAAGGUCAACAUUAUGAUCAGACGGUAGGCAUAGUAGAGGUAGCAACAACAAGGUUACAUUCCUGAAGGGAGAUCAGGUUUCAGGUGAAGCUUGACAAGAAAAAAAACUAAAACCUCAUAGAGUUACACGAAGUGCAAAUAGAAGAAGAUCUACUCUUGUUUGAUUUUUUGAAUACUUGUAUAUUAUUCUUUUUAAUAGAAGGACAAGAAGAAACAUUGAUAGAAAUGUACCUUUUGUUUGAUAUUUUUAUACUUGUAUUUUUAUUUUUUUUAAUAGGAGAAAAAAGAAUACAUUA